rnacentral:rRNA from 1 species
UACGGAGGAUCCGAGCGUUAUCCGGAUUUAUUGGGUUUAAAGGGAGCGUAGGCGGGUUGUUAAGUCAGUUGUGAAAGUUUGCGGCUCAACCGUAAAAUUGCAGUUGAUACUGGCGACCUUGAGUGCAACAGAGGUAGGCGGAAUUCGUGGUGUAGCGGUGAAAUGCUUAGAUAUCACGAAGAACUCCAAUUGCGAAGGCAGCUUACUGGAUUGUAACUGACGCUGAUGCUCGAAAGUGUGGGUAUCAAACAGG